rnacentral:rRNA from 1 species
UACGUAGGGGGCAAGCGUUGUCCGGAUUUAUUGGGCGUAAAGAGCGUGUAGGCGGCCAGCUAGGUCUGUUGUGAAAACUCGAGGCUCAAUCUCGAGACGCCGAUGGAAACCAUUUGGCUAGAGUCCGGAAGAGGAGAGUGGAAUUCCUGGUGUAGCGGUGAAAUGCGCAGAUAUCAGGAAGAACACCCGUGGCUAAGGCGGCUCUCUAGUACGGUACUGACGCUGAGACGCGAAAGCGUGGGGAGCGAACAGG